rnacentral:rRNA from 1 species
AGAUACCCGGGUAGUCCACGCCGUAAACGAUGUUCACUCGCUGUUGGCGAUAUACUGUCAGCGGCCAAGCGAAAGCAUUAAGUGAACCACCUGGGGAGUACGAUCGCAAGGUUGAAACUCAAAGGAAUUGACGGGGGCCCGCACAAGCGGUGGAGCAUGUGGAUUAAUUCGAUGAUACGCGAGGAACCUUACCAGGGCUUAAAUGAUAAUUGACCGUCGCCGAAAGGUGUCUUUCUUUUAGACAAGUAUCAAGGUGCUGCAUGGCCGCCGUCAG